UGGUGGUGUUAUGUUGUUAGCAUGGUGGUGGUGUUAUGUUGUUAGCAUGGUGGUGGUGUUAGGUGGUUAGCACGGUGGUGGUGUUAUGUUGUUAGCAUGGUGGUGGUGUUAGGUGGUUAUGACGGUGGUGGUGUUAUGUUGUUAGCAUGGUGGUGGUGUUAAGUGGUUAGCACGGUGGUGGUGUUAUGUUGUUAGCAUGGUGGUGGUGUUAUGUUGUUAGCAUGGUGGUGGUGUUAGGUGGUUAGCACGGUGGUGGUGUUAUGUUGUUAGCAUGGUGGUGGUGUUAGGUGGUUAGCACGGUGGUGGUGUUAUGUUGUUAGCAUGGUGGUGGUGUUAGGUGGUUAGCACGGUGGUGGUGUUAUGUUGUUAGCAUGGUGGUGGUGUUAGAUGGUUAGCACGGUGGUGGUGUUAUGUUGUUAGCAUGGUGGUGGUGUUAGUUGGUUAUGACGGUGGUGGUGUUAUGUUGUUAGCAUGGUGGUGGUGUUAGGUGGUUAGCACGGUGGUGGUGUUAUGUUGUUAGCAUGGUGGUGGUGUUAGAUGGUUAGCACGGUGGUGGUGUUAUGUUGUUAGCAUGGUGGUGGUGUUAGUUGGUUAUGACGGUGGUGGUGUUAUGUUGUUAGCAUGGUGGUGGUGUUAGGUGGUUAGCACGGUGGUGGUGUCGCUGCGAGCCUGUGAAUUUCCCCAUUGUGGAACUAAUAAAGGAAUAUCUUAUAUUAUCUCUCAGAUGAUGGUGUUAAAGCCGAUCAAAUAUCACAUUAUGCUAUGUCAUAAAAAAAGUUAGUGUCAAAAAAAUGCUAAUGUAGUACAGAAAAACUAUAGUGUCAAAAAAAGCGCAUAGCAUCAAAAACAAAGUAAUUCAAUAAAAGUCCUAAUAUAUAUAGUAUGCCAAAAAAUGUGAUAGAGAUAAUUAGAUUAAAUUAUGUGAAUAUAUGUCAUGAAAAAAUACAAAAUGUUAUGUCAAAAAAUAUAAUGAUAGUCAUGAUGUAUUAUGUUGAAAAUGUGACAUAAAAUCAAAAGUACCAAUACUUUACAAUAGUAAAUUAUUUUCUUUAUUGAUUAACACAGAUUUGAUUUCUUCACAUGUCACAAGAGGAAAGGAUGAUGACAAUAAUGUCCCUGGUUUAGUUGUAGGCAUCUUUCUCAGUCUGUGAUUGGCUGGAUGGUAGAGCCAAUGGGAGCUCAGGGACCACAAGCUGGACAGGCUCCGCCCCCGAUAUACCUAGGUCAGGAAACAGGAACAUUUAUUUCCAUAAUAUGUUAGACAUACAAGGAAUUUGACUUGGCAGUUGGGGCAUAACAUCAUAAAGUAAGACAAUGGACAACAAGAGAGGUAAGACGAAAAAAUGACUUGAACAGGCAAGCUAACUAAUUAAGUGAAACUCAUAUUUAGGCACUAACAAAACAGCAAUAAAAGAAAUAAAACUUGCUAGCCCAUGUUAGUCAAUUAGUUCAGAGAACUAUUCCUCUGCUCACCGCUCAGACUGGUUCCCAGUUGGCUCCAUAAAGAGCAGGAGCUCUGACUCAGCCCCUGACGCUGUUGGAGGGCGGAGCCUAUCUGCAGAUAGUGGGGCGGGGCCUGA
ensembl:lncRNA